GAUGAACGCUAGCGAUAGGCUUAACACAUGCAAGUCGAGGGGCAGCACAAGGUAGCUUGCUAUCUGGGUGGCGACCGGCGCACGGGUGCGUAACGCGUAUGCAACUUGCCCUAUACAGGAGGAUAACCCGUCGAAAGACGGACUAAUACUGCGUAUGCUCACAACUUGGCAUCAAGUGGUGAGGAAAGAAAUUCGGUAUAGGAUAGGCAUGCGUCCCAUUAGCUUGUUGGUGAGGUAACGGCUCACCAAGGCAACGAUGGGUAGGGGAACUGAGAGGUUUAUCCCCCACACUGGUACGGAGACACGGACCAGACUCCUACGGGAGGCAGCAGUGAGGAAGAUUGGUCAAUGGGCGCGAGCCUGAACCAGCCAAGUCGCGUGAAGGAUGACUGUCUUAUGGAUUGUAAACUUCUUUUAUACGGGAAUAACAAGAGUCACGUGUGACUCCCUGCAUGUACCGUAUGAAUAAGCAUCGGCUAACUCCGUG
rnacentral:rRNA from 1 species